GGGGGUGUGGCUCAGUGGUGGAGUGCUUGCUUGGCGUGCAAGUAACCAUGGGUUAGAUUCCUAGCACCUCCC
rnacentral:tRNA from 1 species